rnacentral:rRNA from 1 species
GACGAACGCUGGCGGCGUGCUUAACACAUGCAAGUCGAGCGGAGCGGCGAACGGGUGGGUAACGCGUGAGUAACUGCCCCCCUCUCUGGGUUCCCCGUUGGAAACGGCUGCUAAUACCGGCUAGUGGGGGAUGAUUCGGGUCCUAUCAGCUUGUUGGUGGGGUAGUGGCCUACCAAGGCGACGACGGGUAACCGGCCUGAGAGGGCGACCGGCCACAUUGGGCUGAGAGACGGCGCAAACUCCUACGGGAGGCAGCAGUGGGGAAUAGUGCACAAUGGGGGAAACCCUGAUGCAGCAACGCCGCGUGCGGGAUGACGGCCUUCGGGUUGUAAACCGCUUUCAGCCAUGACGCGGUAGUGGCAGAAGAAGCACCGGCUAACUACGUGCCAGCAGCCGCGGUAAUUC